rnacentral:lncRNA from 1 species
GCCGUAGCAGUCGGCUAUCGGGCGCGAGUGGGACCUCCUCUGGACUGUCUCCUGAUAGUAAGUAUAUGUAAUCGUUUUUUUUUUUGAAAUUUCUAUCUAAUUAUACAUUACAAAUUUUGAGGGAAACAAUAAGAAAUUGGUUAAAAAAUAUGUUAUAGUUAUGGAGGUGAGCAACAAGAAACUACGUGUGGUUGAAGAUCGAGAUAAGAUUUCAUUAAAUCUGAAGAACACCACUAGAGAAGUGGAGGAUGUCAAGACUGGUCAAACAAGCCAAGUGAAAAAUGUCUGCAAUGAAGAUCAUGCCCCGACUGAAAAUCCAUCUGAAGAUAGGCAUAUGUCUGAUAUAGAAGAAUAUAAUCUUGCUAAAAAAAUUGAAGAUGCAGCUAAAAUAGGU